GGUUUCCAAAAUACAGGGACCUCAUAAUAUCGGUCAAACUAAUGAGCCAAAUAAUAAGUUCUCCUUAAUUUGAUAAAAAGUAUAUUUGUCUUUUUACUUAAACUAACAGUAAUAUUGGAUGGGAGAACCUCUAAUUUUGAUGAAAGUAUAAGUGAGGGGUUAAAUUAUUCAAUUUACAGAAUAUAGGGACUAUGUUGUAAUAUUGGUCAAAGCACAAGGAUCAAAUAGUAAAUUUUCCUAAUCAUUAUUAUCAUUAAACAAAACUAUUUUAAAAUAUUUAAUAAAAAUAAUUCGUGAAACUCUUAAGUAUAUGAUCACUUUCACAUAUUUUAUUCUUACAAUAAAAUAUAUUCU
rnacentral:misc_RNA from 1 species